rnacentral:rRNA from 1 species
AACGAACGCUGGCGGCAUGCCUAACACAUGCAAGUCGAACGAGACCUUCGGGUCUAGUGGCGCACGGGUGCGUAACGCGUGGGAACCUGCCCUUAGGUUCGGAAUAACUCCCCGAAAGGGGUGCUAAUACCGGAUAAUGUCUUCGGACCAAAGAUUUAUCGCCUUUGGAUGGGCCCGCGUUGGAUUAGCUAGUUGGUAGGGUAAAAGCCUACCAAGGCGACGAUCCAUAGCUGGUCUGAGAGGAUGAUCAGCCACACUGGGACUGAGACACGGCCCAGACUCCUACGGGAAGCAGCAGUGGGGAAUAUUGGACAAUGGGCGAAAGCCUGAUGCAGCAAUGCCGCGUGAGUGAUGAAGGCCUUAGGGUUGUAAAGCUCUUUUACCCGGGAUGAUAAUGACAGUACCGGGAGAAUAAGCUCCGGCUAACUCCGUG